GUGUAUGAUCAAGACUAGGGACUCAUGGGAAGAUAUCACAACACAACUCUAAACACAAAAGAAAGACAUACAAUCUUCAUAUUACAAGCCAGGGGCCUCAAGGGCUCUAAGAGAAAAGCUCGAUACACAAGCGAGUCAGCGGAAGCAACAAUAUCUGAGUACAGACAUAAGUUAGACAAGUUUUGCCUUAAGAAGGCUAGCACAAACAUCAACGACUGAAGAGGAAAGGCCUCCUACAUGUGACCUCCCAACUACUCCUGGUCGUCGGCGGGCUCCAUGUAGUAGUAGGCACCCUCGGCGUAGUAGCAGUAAUCGGCAGGGGUGGCAUCAUCUGGCUCCUAGGAUCCACCAUCGGGUUACAAUGACCUGAAAGAAGGAAGAAGGGGGAAAAUGGGAGCAAAGCAACCGUGAGUACUCAUCCAAAGUACUCGCAAGCAUCAAAUCUUUACUAAGUAUGCAUUGGUAUCAAAAUGGAAGGUUUGUAUAUGUGGACUAAACUGCAGAAUGCCAAAAUAGAGGGAAAGGCCUAGCCUAUCGAAGACUAGCAUCUUCAAGCAGCUCCAAGCAUCUUGCAGCAUGUAGAAGAGUAAAGAAUAGUAGUUUAUAAUAUCAAACAUGUUCUAACAUUAACGCCCAGAGAUCCUUCCUCAACUCCCUGCGAGAAAGCAAUCCCGAGGCCACAUAUCCAUCACAUAUCAAGUAUCCAUUUCUAGUUGUAUAAGAUCAGGAUACAAGUCUGAACGUCCAUUACCAUGGACACGGUAUUCGAAUAUAUGUCUUCCCUGCAGGGGUGCACCACGUUAACCAACACGCUCGAUCACUCUGGCCGGACACACCAUUCUGGGGUCAAUGUCCGGCCUCAAAAGAUUAACACGUCGCAGCCCUACCUAGGCUCAGCAGAGAGGUCCCCGCCGCUUUACAUCCUAAGCACUCUGGGGUCUUGGGCCCAUCGCCCACAGCACUCUGGGUCGUUUUGUGCUGGGUAGAUACCAGCACCGCCUCGGAUGGCCAGCACGAUCCGACCGUGCCACAAUGCUGAACUGGACGUUUGACAAAGCUUCGGUUGAUACUGCGACGUCGAGGCCCAUAACUAUUCUCACGUGGUGGUUAGUGCGUAAAGGCCAGAGGCCAACUCAAAACAAAUACCCAAACCUGUUAGUGCAUUAUUAAAAGAAGUGACGGCUGUCGGGACAAGUCCGGAGCUAUCACCCCCUCCCGGGUGAUACCGCUAAAUAACCAGCCGCCACGGUCACAUCGCACGGGCUCUCCGGGCCCGCCCGGCUUUCACAAUGGUCUCAAGUGAAGUCAAUGUAACUGUGUGUCCAGACAUCAAUGGGAAAAACCGAGGAAUCACCCCCGGUGGAUUCCACUCGAUGUAAUCAUCAAGGUGAACGUAAGAGGAACCACCCUCGAGGUCCACACUUGAGGUGUUGCACGAUAGAGCCGUAUCAGGAAUGAUGAAGGAGGAACCACCCUUGAUGACCACGACCGAAUAGCUACACUACAGAGAUCUCUUCAGGAGUGAUGUAUGAGGUUCCACCCUCGGCACUCGAUGGUAACUCUCCAGAGUCCAGCAACAAAAAGGGGCGUGAUGUGAUGUGAGGUGUCGGGCUCCGGUCGUCGAUCAUGUUGAUCGAGGCGUCGAUGAUGAAGCAGGGGCAACAAGGACAAGUGGGGGUCACUGAUGGAUCACUAGCCAACCUAUACUAAGCAAUUUAGGAUAAGCAGGUAGGUAACAAAUAGCAGGUACAGAAGCAGGCUAUGCAUCAGAAUAGGAGCAAACAAUAACAUUAGCAAAAUCUAAUGCAAGCAUGAGAGAAUAGAAUGGGCGAGAUCGGGAUGAUCAAAGGGGAGCUUGCCUGGAAGCUGCGCUGAAAGGGAAGAAAUAUUGUCGAUGAUGUAGUCGAUCAUAGGGGUAUCGGCUGCGGUCUCAGGGUCUACCAAAGAGAAGAGGGGGAAGAAACAGUAAAUAUAAUGCAAUAGAUGCAACACAGAUGUAUGACGGGGUAACACGCAGGGCUAGGGUUUUCUAAUGCGGUGCUACACGAUACCGGUGAAGUGGGAUAACAUCCGGGAAAGUUUUCUAGGUUCUGGACAUCUGUCAAACAAAUGAACCAGAGGAGUAAGGUUCGAUGUUUUCCAGGAUAGGGACAUGUGGCGGGCAACCGGACCGCGAAUUCAGAUUUGUCUCGUCGUUCUAAGCAACUUUGAUGUAUAAACAAAUUUCAUUCAAGUUACUCUUGAUUAUCUACGAUUUUUCAAAGAUUUAAACAUUAUUUUGGAAUUUAAUUUAAUUCGAAAAUAAAUAACAAAUUGCUACGUGUACCUAGCUCUAUGUACACAGAGGAUGACAUGUGGGCCAGGGGGACCCAGUUGACCAGUCAAUGUUUGACUGGUUAAUAGGGGUGGGACCCCCCUCUCAUUGACUGUGUCUAGUUAACUAAUUCAGUUUCAACUAAUCCAAUGAUUAGGCUAAUUAAUCCCGAGUUAAUGAAGUUAAUUAACUAUUUAAAUAAUUAGUUAAGUAAUUUAUUUAUUAUUAUUAUUUUUCAUAAAUCCAUUUCUUUUCUUUUCUUUUACAAGAGGGGCUUGGGGCCCAUAGGCCAGUGGCCAAGGGCCAUAGCGGGCGUGCGGCUCAACAGGGCGGAGCCCCUGGGGAGGUGCCCGAACGACAGACCGAGGGGGGGAGCCAGGCACGGGCGCCGGCGGCCAGGGGCCACACAGGCACCGGCCAGAACUGGGCGGCAGGGCGAAGGGAAGAUGGUCGCGAGCGGGGUGAGGCGGCGAAGGUAGGCGGACCCAGGCGGCGCCGCAGGGCUGCGGCGGCGGGAGCCGCGGCUGGGCGCGCACAUGUACCUUGCAGUGUGUGGGCAGCACUGUACAUGGGGCUCGCAGGGUGGGCGGCUGCAAUGGCAAGGGGCAGCCCAAGACGGGCGCUGCUAGGCUGUGGAGCAGCGGGAGGGCGCCGACGGGAGCGGCAGGGCUGCACGGGCGAUGGCGGCGCAGGUGGAGCACAGCCGCGACGUUGGGCUAAGAAGAGAAGCAGGGAGGCCCGGGGUGCGAGUGAAGAUGGCGCAGCCAUGCGCGGCCAAGCGCGCGGGCGGGGCGGGGCAAUUGCGGCAGCACGCAACGGUCACGGGUCGCUGAAGCAGCAGCGCGAUGGAGGGGGGGUAGCAGUGGCCGGCGGCAGAAGCAACUAGCAGUGACGGUGGCAGUCGACGAAGGCGAAGCUAGGCGUGGCCCCGCGGGCGUGCGCACGGGCGAGGUACGUCCGAUACACGGCCCAUGGCACGAUGGGGCGCGGCAGGGAGGCAUGCGGUGAGCGCAUCCAUGCAGCUUUCUGCGGGCGCUUGGCUACGACGGCUACGACGUUCCAGGCGACGAACCGAAGGGGGAAAUAGGGGAAUCAAGGAAGAGCUCACAUCGUGGGUCGAUGCGGAGCUCGGGAGAGGUCGAGGAGAUGCCGGAGUAGUUGGACGCCGCGAGGCGGUGGUGGUGGUCGACGUGGUUGAUGGUGCGGGCGACGCCCGAUCCAGUGGCCAGGAACUCCUAAGCCUGCGCUGGUGGCGUGGACGGUGACUACAUGGCGCGGCGAGGCCUCCGGCCAGCCUCCCGUGGCCCUUAAAGAAGACGGAGUAGGCGAAUGACGAUGGCACAACGGUGGUAGUGCUCGGGCAGCUCGGGACCGAGAGGGAGAGGGCUAGAGGAAAGGGAAUCUGGUGGGGGCGAGGCGGAGGGACAAAGAGG
rnacentral:lncRNA from 1 species